CUCUCUCCUCCUCCGCGCCGGUCCGUGCAGCUCUUCUGUCAGCUCACAUUGUAAGUCUCGCGAGAGCCGCACUAUGACCCCGCGGCUCUCGCGAGACUUACAGUGUGAGCUGACCAAGGUGCUGACCGGACCGGCACGGAGGAGGAGAGAG